UUUCACAUGAACAGUGGCAUGCGUGGCGCGGCUGCAGCGCUCGAGGUGCCCCACCCCCCCGCGCCACACAGACCAUGUGCAGGCUUCCUAUGUUGGACUUUUUCAAAACGAACACAGUGUACAGUGCGUCCAAACGCAGACAGGCCGUCCCCAAAGUAAAACCCACAUCCCGAUCAGCUGCAGGCCUUUAACAACUCCAGCACCUCCCUCGGCUUCGAGCCCCCCCACAUCAGCGACUAUGAUCAUCAGACUGGGCAGACUGACACCUGGAUACUUCCGCCUCCUCCAGAGGCAAGUUGCCGGUGAGGUGCAAACACAGCCACAAGACCGUGCUGUCAACCAGAUAGCCAUGAUGCUGGCCAUCAUGGGCCUGAGUUUGUCCUACUACAGUGCCAAACAAAUGACGGAGAAGGUCCAUGCUGCUGAACCCACACCCUGAAUAGACUUGACUGCUCCGAUUCUGGAGACCAUGGAUGAACCAAUGAGUAGCGGAGGAGGUGGAGUGAGCAAGCAGCAGUGGAGACAUGGCGACGUCUCUCAGAUCGCACUUUUCUCACCUCAGUCACACUCAGGCAGAGCUUUCAGGGCUGCUGCUCCCUGUUUUCUAUGCUUUGUCACCAGGGCCUUCAGGGGUUUGCGGGGGGAAUGGCUCACUCUGGGUCGUGGAGAGGACUGGUUUUAUUAACUGGUUUGGGUGGGUUAUUUGAAACCAGCUGACUGCCAACUGGGUCUGAACAUUAGUCAUUAUAAAGGUACAUGCUUGCAAGAUGCCAUCAAUACUGUUCUUAGCUAUAAAAAGGUGUAAAACCUCAACUGUGAAAUGUGUCCAAAAAGGGUUCAAUUAAAGGAACAGUUAAAACUUUUUUUUUUUUUUUUUUUUUUUAGGAAGGCUGACUGCAACUGAGCUGUAUCUUGUAAUGAAGUGAUGGCAGACCCACAUUGAAAAGGGGAUGAAAAGUUAGAUUUACCCAUAUUUUUUUUUUUUUCUUUUAGGAUUUUUGCUUUGCUCCAAGAGAACCUUUCAGAACCUUCCGAUCAGAUCAGUAGCUGUAUUCAUUCAUCAAUAUAUAUACAUGUGAACUGUAUCUGUCAGGUGAAUAUUUGCACAAAACUGCUGAAACCUUUGAAAAUGCAACAGUGGAUCUGCAAAGGGACUUCGAACUACUCACUGUUUUUUGUUUUGUGAUUUCCUUGUUUUAACAAUCCUAUAAAGUCUUGUUUGUGUGAUUAUGUUCAUGCAGGAUCUACUAAUAAUGCAAACAUUUAACUUUACUGAAAUGCAUGUGCGUGCCGAUCUUUUAAUCAAAGAAAAUUCAUGAUUCUUGUUUUUAUUGAUGGAUGAAUGUAUCUUUCUUUUGUAAUGAUUUAAUAAAGCUGUGAAUAUUUUGAAAGAGAUGUACAGUGGAUGUUUUGAUAUUUUGAGUUGAAACAAUCCGAGCUGGGUUCGUACAGUCCUGAGGUUGGCACACGCUGCAGAGCAGAAAUAUUUCCUGCAUCAGAAUAUUCUGUGGCGUCGUCUGCACGCAACAGGAUGUGGUUAGUCUGUUGCACGCGUUCUGUCUCCUGAGUGAUGCAGCAUUUUUUUUUUUUUUUAAAUGAUGGCAGCAUGCAUGUUAGAAGAAAGUUGGCGAUGUUAAAAUCUUUAGUUUCAAGAAGCGCUGUUCUCCUCUACUCAACCUUGGAUUAUAGUGUGAGCUUCUAAUGAAACGAAGGAAGAUUUUACGUUAGAUCAUUGAUCACCCUUUGGAUAUCACUGUAACUUCCUCAUAUGGUCAUCAGGAUCUAAAUUUAAACGUUUUUCAGAGAAUUUUUCAGUGCUUCUUUGCACAUUGUCUGUCUUUUGCAGGGCAUUGGGUUUAGAACGUAUGCAUGGCUGCUCAGAGGCUGAUGUGAUUCCCAGUGACAGUCCUAGAACUCGUUGGGCACCACGUGCCCCCUCUGCCCACGCCACAAGCCCCUCCUCGUUCUAUAACCCUUGCAUGUCAUUGGGUAAAAAAAAUCCUCACUUUGGUGUCUCAGUGAUGCCAGUGUGAGGACAUAACCCCUAACCAAGAGCGCCUAUUGGUUAACCGGUGACGCGUCAUAAUAAUCGGCCUGGUUCUGAGCCAUGGAGACAAAAGGAUGGGGAUAAGGUCAUUGGUGAGGAAUGCGGAUGGGAGGAUCAGUGUGUAUUUCAACACAAAGAUACUCAAAUGGUAUAAAGAAAAAUUAAAUGAAGCUGAGUAAGAGAAGUUUUUGUAGACGUUUUGAGCAAAAGUGCUUUAGGCAAGAACGACUGGGUUGAAUUCAAAGCUGCAGCAGGCGCAAACAAGACUGAUGCUCAUUCUCUGAUUGUUUCAUUUAUUCAUUCACUGUCAUCUAAAACAAGCACUUAUGAUCAAUAUUCUCAACUUGCAAUAAAAAUCAUUGUACUGUAUCUUUUGUGGGGGUGCAGGUUGCUGCCCUUCCAUGUAUGUUGGUUUAAAACAAGUUGCACAGUUGUGAGGAAAUAUUGUUUUGGUUGAUAAAUGUAAAGCUGAUGGAGUUUUUAUUUUAUAUCAAUAAAUACCGAAUGUCUUCCAUAUGGGGGGAGCGCCUGAGCGUAAUUGGCUCCCCCACAUGGUUAUAAGGAUAUUUCUUGUUUUACUGCUGCUUUAUGUUUGAAAUAAACUUGAGAACAAA